AUGGCUCAGAACGAACGCUGGCGGCGCGCUUAAGCAUGCAAGUCGAACGGCAAGAGGUAGCAAUACCUCCUAGAGUGGCGGACUGGUGAGUAACACGUGGGUGACAUACCCUUCAGAUGGGGAUAGCUAUUAGAAAUAGUAGAUAAUACCGAAUACGAGCACAGGGGUUAGAGAUCUGUGAGGAAAGGAGCUAAGGCUCCGCUGAAGGAAUGGCCUGCGGCCCAUUAGCUAGUUGGUGAGGUAAGAGCCCACCAAGGCGAUGAUGGGUAUCCGGCCUUAGAGGGUGAACGGACACAUUGGGACUGAGAUACGGCCCAGACUCCUACGGGAGGCAGCAGCUAAGAAUAUUCCGCAAUGGACGAAAGUCUGACGGAGCGACGCCGCGUGGGAUGAAGAAGGCCGGAAGGUUGUAAAAUCCUUUGAAACUGAAGAAUAAGCGUUGUAGGGAAUGACAGCGUGGUGACAGUAGGUUUUGAAUAAGCAACGGCUAAUUACGUGCCAGCCGCAGC
rnacentral:rRNA from 1 species